GACAAACGCUGGCGGCAUGCCUAACACAUGCAAGUCGAACGGACAGAACAGGGAAGCUUUUCGGAGUGGAACUGGAAAGUUAGUGGCGGAUGGGUGAGUAACGCGUGGACAACCUACCUUGUAAAGGGGAAUAACCUCGAGAAAUCGAAGCUAAUACCCCAUAAUAACCUUGCUUCGCAUGAAGUAAGGAGGAAAGGCGGCCUUAGCGCUGUCGAUACAAGAUGGGUCCGCGUCUGAUUAGCUAGUUGGUGAGGUAAAGGCUCACCAAGGCGACGAUCAGUAGCAGGCCUGAGAGGGUGAACGGCAACAUGGGGACUGAGACACGGCCCAAACUAAUACGGGAGGCAGCAGUGGGGAAUCUUCAGAAAUGGGCGAAAGCCUGACGGAGCAAUGCCGCGUGAGUGAAGAAGGGUUUCGGGUUGUAAAACUCUGUCGUUAUAGAAGAGAGAGGGUUGUAGUAAUUGACAAUACUAGGACGGUAGAUGAGGAGGAAGACCAGGAUAACUAUGUG
rnacentral:rRNA from 1 species